rnacentral:lncRNA from 1 species
CACUAUCAGAAAUGGAAAUUUUUGAAGCAUAAGGAAAAGUUAACACAGGCAAAGCUAUGGAUGAAUUUGGGACCUCAGCAGAACAUCUCAAAACUGCUAGAAAUAUUCUUUUGUCAAUAGGCACCUCCUUCUUUACUUAAAUCGUAACUACAAAACAAAUGCCACUUUUCUUCAAAAUUGGAAUUACCAAACCAAUUUAUUCAAGCAGACGUGCAAUUUUGUUUAAAAGAAGGUCUCUCUAUGCUUAUAGCUGCCGUUUUCGUAUCAGAAUGUAAAGUAGAAUCCAUACACGUAACUUUAAAACCCUUAUAUAUGAUGGUGGUAGACAGCCAAACUGCAUUUGACGUAGUUCCGCACAUCAUUCUUCUAGAUAAACUGUAUGAAUAAGGCAUACAUCAAUAACUUUGACCCAUAGUCAAAGAUCUAAAAACAGACAUGUCCUCAAAAAUACAUAGUCAAAGAUCCAAAUACAGACAUGUCCUCAAAAAUAAAUUGGAAAGGUUAAAUUAAUGUCACAUUUCCAGUAAAACAGGGAGUUCGACAAACUUCUUUGUCAUUU